AUGGCCAAGUCCAAGAACCACACCACACACAACCAGUCCCGAAAAUGGCACAGAAAUAGUGUCAAGAAACCCCAAUCACAAAGAUACAAAUCUCUUAAGGGAAUGGACCCUAAGUUCCUGAGGAACAUGUGCUUUGCCAAGAGCACAACAAGAAGAGCCUAAAGAAGAUGCAGGCCAGCAAUGCCAAGGCUGUGAGUGUAUGUGCCGAGGCUAUCAAGGCCCUCGUAAAGGCCAAGGAGGUUAACCCCAAGAUUCCGAAGGGUGUCACCUGCAAGCUCAAAUGACUUGCCUACAUUGCCCACCCCAAACUUGGGAAGCAUGCCCGUGCCCGCAUUGCCAAGGGGCUCAAGCUGUGCCAGCCAAAGGCCAAGGCAAAGGAUCAAACCAAGGCCCAGGCUGCAGCUCCCGCUUCAGUUCCAGCUCAGGCUCCAAAAGGUGCCCAGGCCCCUAUAAAGGCUUCAGA
rnacentral:lncRNA from 1 species